rnacentral:misc_RNA from 1 species
GAUGAAGAACGUAGCGAAAUGCGAUAAGUAAUGUGAAUUGCAGAAUUCAGUGAAUCAUCGAAUCUUUGAACGCACCUUGCGCCUUUUGGUAUUCCGAAAGGCACACCUGUUUGAGCGUCAUGAAUACCUCAAUCUCCAUCUUUUCUUCGGAUUGAUGGGUGACUUGGAUGUUGAGCCCUGCUGGUAUGCUAUAUCAGCUGGCUUUAAACUUAUUAGCCGGCUCUGUACUGGAUCGGUUUGACUCGACGUGAUAAUAUUAUCGUUGAGGAUGCAUGUCUCAUGCAGCCGGAAAGUAUCAAAGCAGCUUCUAGCUUGCCUUUAGUGCACUUUUACAUUUUAGACCUCAGAUCAGGUGGGACUACCCGCUGAACUUAAGCAUAUCAAUAACGGAGGA